AGUGGGGAAUAUUGGACAAUGGGCGAAAGCCUGAUCCAGCAAUGCCGCGUGAGUGAUGAAGGCCUUAGGGUUGUAAAGCUCUUUUACCCGGGAUGAUAAUGACAGUACCGGGAGAAUAAGCUCCGGCUAACUCCGUGCCAGCAGCCGCGGUAAUACGGAGGGAGCUAGCGUUGUUCGGAAUUACUGGGCGUAAAGCGCACGUAGGCGGCUAUUCAAGUCAGAGGUGAAAGCCCGGGGCUCAACCCCGGAACUGCCUUUGAAACUAGGUAGCUAGAAUCUUGGAGAGGUCAGUGGAAUUCCGAGUGUAGAGGUGAAAUUCGUAGAUAUUCGGAAGAACACCAGUGGCGAAGGCGACUGACUGGACAAGUAUUGACGCUGAGGUGCGAAAGCGUGGGGAGCAAA
rnacentral:rRNA from 1 species